GGAUUAGAUACCCUGGUAGUCCACGCCGUAAACGAUGCUCACUGGCUUUUGGCGAUACACAGCCUGAGGCUAAGCGAAAGUAUUAAGUGAGCCACCUGGGGAGUACGUCGGCAACGAUGAAACUCAAAGGAAUUGACGGGGGCCCGCACAAGCGGAGGAACAUGUGGUUUAAUUCGAUGAUACGCGAGGAACCUUACCUAGGUUUAAAUGUAGGUUGCAUAGAGUGGAAACAUUCUUUUCCUUCGGGACUACUUACAAGGUGCUGCAUGGUUGUCGUCAGCUCGUGUUG
rnacentral:rRNA from 1 species